rnacentral:rRNA from 1 species
UACGUAGGGUGCAAGCGUUGUCCGGAAUUAUUGGGCGUAAAGAGCUCGUAGGCGGUUUGUUGCGUCGGCUGUGAAAUCCCGAGGCUCAACCUCGGGUCUGCAGUCGAUACGAGCAAACUAGAGUGUUGCAGGGGAGACUGGAAUUCCUGGUGUAGCGGUGAAAUGCGCAGAUAUCUGGAGGAACACCAGUGGCGAAGGCGGCUUCCUGGCCUGUAACUGACGCUGAGACGCGAAAGCGUGGGGAGCGAACCGG